rnacentral:rRNA from 1 species
GCGAACGCUGGCGGCACGCUUAACACAUGCAAGUCGAACGAGAGAAGAGGAGCUUGCUUUUCUGAUCUAGUGGCGGACGGGUGAGUAACACGUGAGCAAUCUGCCUUUCAGAGGGGGAUACCGAUUGGAAACGAUCGUUAAUACCGCAUAACAUAAUUGAACCGCAUGAUUUGAUUAUCAAAGAUUUAUCGCUGAAAGAUGAGCUCGCGUCUGAUUAGCUAGUUGGUAAGGUAACGGCUUACCAAGGCGACGAUCAGUAGCCGGACUGAGAGGUUGAUCGGCCACAUUGGGACUGAGACACGGCCCAGACUCCUACGGGAGGCAGCAGUGGGGAAUAUUGCACAAUGGAGGAAACUCUGAUGCAGCGAUGCCGCGUGAGGGAAGAAGGUUUUAGGAUUGUAAACCUCUGUCUUCAGGGACGAAAAAAGACGGUACCUGAGGAGGAAGCUCCGGCUAACUACGUGCCAGCAGCCGCGGUAAUACGUAGGGAGCGAGCGUUGUCCGGAAUUACUGGGUGUAAAGGGAGCGUAGGCGGGAUCGCAAGUCAGAUGUGAAAACUAUGGGCUUAACCCAUAAACUGCAUUUGAAACUGUGGUUCUUGAGUGAAGUAGAGGUAAGCGGAAUUCCUAGUGUAGCGGUGAAAUGCGUAGAUAUUAGGAGGAACAUCAGUGGCGAAGGCGGCUUACUGGGCUUUAACUGACGCUGAGGCUCGAAAGCGUGGGGAGCAAACAGGAUUAGAUACCCUGGUAGUCCACGCCGUAAACGAUGAUUACUAGGUGUGGGGGGACUGACCCCUUCCGUGCCGCAGCAAACGCAAUAAGUAAUCCACCUGGGGAGUACGACCGCAAGGUUGAAACUCAAAGGAAUUGACGGGGGCCCGCACAAGCAGUGGAGUAUGUGGAUUAAUUCGAAGCAACGCGAAGAACCUUACCAGGUCUUGACAUCGUAUGCAUAGCUCAGAGAUGAGUGAAAUCUCUUCGGAGACAUAUAGACAGGUGGUGCAUGGUUGUCGUCAGCUCGUGUCGUGAGAUGUUGGGUUAAGUCCCGCAACGAGCGCAACCCUUACUGUUAGUUGCUACGCAAGAGCACUCUAGCAGGACUGCCGUUGACAAAACGGAGGAAGGUGGGGAUGACGUCAAAUCAUCAUGCCCCUUAUGACCUGGGCCUCACACGUACUACAAUGGCUGUCAACAGAGGGAUGCAAAGCCGCGAGGUGGAGCGAACCCCUAAAAGCAGUCUUAGUUCGGAUUGUAGGCUGCAACCCGCCUACAUGAAGUCGGAAUUGCUAGUAAUCGCAGAUCAGCAUGCUGCGGUGAAUACGUUCCCGGGCCUUGUACACACCGCCCGUCACGCCAUGGGAGUCGGUAACACCCGAAGCCUGUAGUCUAACCGCAAGGAGGACGCAGUCGAAGGUGGGAUUGAUGACUGGGGUG